CCACAUUCCCAGUUCCCAGAAAAGAGAGCACUCCCUAGCCUUUCCGAGCUGCCUCACUGGAGGGUGUGACUUAGCCGGGGAACUUUUCAUGUGGGGGACAAGGCCUGAAUUUACUCGGUGAUUCUGUGGCCAGAGCUUCUAUAUUUUCAGCUGCAGUGGUUUUGCACAGGCGUCUCUUGUCAGCAUUCCCGCCUUUCACAGAGCUCUCAGGACAAGCUGAUAGCGCCAACGGAGAAUUUCUUCCCCUUCCUGUUGUCCAGGCUGGGCAUCAAACACCAGGAAACCAGGUGAAAAAUUCAUUUCUUGUUAUUGGCUCUUAAUGAGCCUGAACGCUUCUGCAGGCUUCCUUGGCAGUUUGCUCUGGCAGCAGCCUUCACACUUCCAUUGCAUGGCUUGAGGUUCUGAAGAGUCUGGGAAGAAGCACAGGCCGAACAUGUUCUUGCUGCUGCUGCUGCUAAGUUGCUUCAGUCGUGUCCGACUCUGUGCAACCCCAUAGAUGGCAGCCCACCAGGCUCCCCUGUCCCUGGGAUUCUCCAGGCAAGAACACUGGAGUGGGUUGCCAUUUCCUUCUCCAAUGCGUGAAAGUGAAGUUGCUCAGUCGUGUCCAACUCUUAGUGACCCCAUGGACUAUAGCCCACCAGGCUCGUCCAUCCAUGGGAUUUUCCAGGCAAGAGGACUGGAGUGGGGUGCCAUCUUACAGGGAUCAAAUCCAUGCUCUCAGCAGUGAAAGCAUGCUUUCCUAGUCACUGGACCACCAGUGGAUCAGCAUGUGCCAGAAGAAGGACGACAUCUUUAAACCUCAAAACUUGUGUAAGACAUCCAGAAUCACAUGCAUACAGAAAUAUGCACGAAGCAUCGGAGUUCAGUGUAUUUCCAAAAAGUGAACACGCCUGUAUAAACCAGUCCCCAGAUCAAAAAUUAAAACACUGCCAGCACCCCAGAGGCCCACGUUGUGCUCCGUCCAGUUACCACUUUAUCCUUAAGGUAAAUAGAAUCUGCCGUCUUUCAUUGUCACUCUUCACUGCAACACUCCAAUGAAUACAUUUGUCUGUGUCCCUUUACUCACAAA
ensembl:lncRNA